rnacentral:rRNA from 1 species
AAUCGCGGAUCAGCAUGCCGCGGUGAAUACGUUCCCGGGCCUUGUACACACCGCCCGUCACACCAUGGGAGCCGGUAAUACCCGAAGUCAGUAGUCCAACCACGUGAGGACGCUGCCGAAGGUAGGAUUGGCGACUGGGGUGAAGUCGUAACAAGGUAAC